UCCAGUUUCACCUAUCGUCCAGCUAAAUCCACUCACAUCCUAAAACACGAACUCCAUCCAGGACCUUGGGGUGCUUUGACACAUUAAUAGAAAGUAUGCAGUGGUUAAGUCAUUGCCCGGUUGUGCUACCAAUGCCAAGCAGCCUUAUUUGGAUAAAAGAUGGGAGUUUUUAAGCUCGAUGACAGGCACCACAAGUCCACAUUAAUCUUCAGCUCCAAACUGCGCAUAUGCUCUGAGCUGGCCGAAAGACGAGGAAAGACCGGACAGAAAUGAGCCAAGAUGUGUCGGAAGAUUUGGAAUCAAAAAUUAGGAGAAGAACCCAGAAUCACCACCACCAGCCUGAUACAAGACCAUGCUGCAAAGCUGUUCAUGCCAAAUUCUCAUCUCACCAUCCAGCAGAAAUGCAACUCAUCAAACCAGGAAACAUUUUCUUCUGUUGCCUGACAGGAGUGGCACUCAGUGUGAUUUCCACUGCUUCAAGGUUUGAUGUGCUGUGCAUUCAGAGAUGCUCUUCUGCAUAUGCUGGUUGUAAUAAGUGGUUAUUGGACUUUCAUCAGACCUCUAACAUCAACAAAGCAUUUUGACCCAGAGAACUGCUGCUCAGGUUAUUUUCUAUUUUUCAGUAGGUUCACUUGUCCGUGUCUGCAACCUAUAUGCUUUCAGUCACUGCCAUGUAGUUGGCUGAUGAGAUAUUUAUGUUAACAGGCUCGUUGAACAGUGUACAUAAUUAAGUGGCUGAUGAAUGUGUGCCAUGAUAAAAAAAAAAUCAUCCUGUUCUUAGCAGCUUCUAAAAU